AAACUUUGGAGUUUCAUUAGGUCCCAUUUGUCAAUUCUCGAUCUUACAGCACAAGCCAUUGCUGUACCUCAGAGUGAAAGGCUGGAAAACAAUUUUCCAAGCAAAUGGACUGAAGAAACAAGCUGGAGUAGCCAUUUUAAUAUCGGAUAAAAUCGACUUCCAACCCAAAGUUAUCAAAAAAGACAAGGAGGGACACUUCAUACUCAUCAAAGUUUUAUGAACUCAUCUCUGUCUGGCCCGUCUACCUUGCUGCCUUGGCCUCUGGAGCCCAUCAUUCUACUCUACUUCAAGGUCUUUUCACCUGGAAACAGUGGACAUUUUACACCUCCCAAACAUCCUUUUCUUCUUCGCCUCAAGCCCUGGCAACCACAAUCCUACUUUCUGAGUGUGUAAAUGUAACGAUGCCAUGAAAGAAAGACCUGCCCUGUUCACUAACUUGGGAACUUCAGGACAUUGCAAUCAUGUCUCCCAAAUUGGAAUUCCACCUGCUGUGCCCAACAUGUGGUAUAAAACACACAUGGAUAAAUGUACUUUGUAUUUCAGUUAAAAAACCGUAAUUCACCAUAUGUAUGCUGAGGGCACAAACAGCCAACUCCUGGUAUCCAGUUAUCUAGAAUGAUGAUCUCACUGUCAGCCCUCUGGUUUGCUUUUUCUCAUUUUCCCCCAGGUGCCUCAGGAUGAAUUCUGGGAGCUCUUGUCUAAACUUUGUGUCCCUCGUCCUUCAUUAUGUUAUUAUCCUACUAUCUACGUUCUACUGAGAGCCCCCUGUGUUCCUUUUAGUUCAAUACAAGCUUACUAGUGGCUAACAGGACAAAUGGUGAAUGUCAGUUAACAGAAUAGGAAAACAGCAUUGUUGAGGUGUUUGCCAAAGAAGUCAUCCGGAAACAGUCCAGUAGUACAGUGAAUUGCCUUCUAGCUCUGGAGGUUUGAGUGUAUAGUCAGAAGUCCUGGAGAAUGCUUCCUGAGAAUCUGUGUAUUUGCCUUUGCCCUCUCACCUGACUUCCAAUCGUCCGCAGAGUAGGGUAUGUGCUCUCCACUGACGUAUGUGAAGGCUGACCAGAAACUUUAGCCUCCAUGGUCUCCAAUGACAUGAAUUUUAUUUAUCAAUUUCAGUAUCUAAAAUUUUCCAAUAUACUAGCAACAGCAUCCUUGCAACAGUAUCAAUUUAAAAAUGACAGUCUUACAAGUCAAAGCGGGGACAUAGAUUUUCAAAAUUCUUGAGGGGCUGUAAGGUUUAUUUAUUUUGUAAAAGAAUUCAUAAUAUGAAGUAAAAGAAACAGCCAGGGCUGGUGUGGUCACUCAGUCAGUAAAGUGCCUGUUAUAAAAACACUGAGUAUGAGAGUGUUCAUUUGUCAUCCCUGAGGAGGGGAGGGGAGGACAAGAGAGGAUGCUCUAGCCUCACUAGCCAGCCAGUCUAACUAAUUGUCUAGCUCAUGCCAAUGAGAGAUCCCAUCUCAAAGAAGGUGCAUUACAUUCCUAAGGAUGAUCCCCAAUUAUCCUUCCACAUGCACAUGUGCCACCCACCACACACACCUGCAUCCUGUAUGUACA